GACGAACGCUGGCGGCGUGCUUAACACAUGCAAGUCGAACGAUGAAGCCGGAGCUUGCUCCGGUGGAUUAGUGGCGAACGGGUGAGUAACACGUGAGCAAUCUGCCCUUGACUCUGGGAUAACUGCGGGAAACUGUAGCUAAUACCGGAUACGACACCUUGGGGCAUCCCAGGGUGUGGAAAGAAUUUCGGUCAAGGAUGAGCUCGCGGCCUAUCAGCUAGUUGGUGAGGUAAUGGCUCACCAAGGCGACGACGGGUAGCCGGCCUGAGAGGGUGACGGGCCACAAUGGAACUGAGACACGGUCCAGACUCCUACGGGAGGCAGCAGUGGGGAAUAUUGCACAAUGGGCGAAAGCCUGAUGCAGCAACGCCGCGUGAGGGAUGAAGGCCUUCGGGUUGUAAACCUCUUUUAGCAGGGAAGAAGCGAAAGUGACGGUACCUGCAGAAAAAGCACCGGCUAACUACGUGCCAGCAGCCGCGGUAA
rnacentral:rRNA from 1 species